GCUAAGAUGGCGGAACGGCUACGCAAUCGCCUGCAGAGCGAUUUUAUCCCGGUUCGAAUCCGGGUCUUAGCU
rnacentral:tRNA from 1 species